rnacentral:rRNA from 1 species
AUUGAACGCUGGCGGCGUGCCUAACACAUGCAAGUCGAGCGGUAACAGGUGUAGCAAUACAUGCUGACGAGCGGCGAACGGGUGAGUAAUGCUUCGGAAUCUACCCAAUGGUGGGGAAUAACCAGCCGAAAGGUUGGCUAAUACCGCAUACGUCCCACGGGAGAAAGCAGGGGAUCGCAAGACCUUGCGCCAAUGGAUGAGCCGAAGUCGGAUUAGCUAGUGGUAGGGUAACGGCCUACCAAGGCGACGAUCCGUAGCUGGUCUGAGAGGACGACCAGCCACACUGGGACUGAGACACGGCCCAGACUCCUACGGGAGGCAGCAGUGGGGAAUAUUGGACAAUGGGGGAAACCCUGAUCCAGCGACGCCGCGUGUGUGAAGAAGGCCU